AUCGCUUCUCAGCCUUUUGGCUAAAAUCAAGUGUAGUAUCUGUGUAAUUCUAGCUGGGGGGAUUAAAACUUGGGAAAGUAAGUUUUAAAGCUCUGAGGAGGAGGACCUUUUCUGAGAGUAUUCCUGCUAUACUUCCUAAAGGCAGAUUGGGUUUUAUUUUCUACUAACUGAAUUCUAUUUGCAUAGCUC